rnacentral:lncRNA from 1 species
CUCCUUGGUGUGAUGGCCACAAUUAGGCUGGCUGCUGUCUCAGAAGCUAUGUGCAAAAUGUGUGGGCCAGCAGAAGGCCCUGUCACCCUGGGGUGGCCAAGCAGAAGCCGCAGCAGUGGCAGAUGUGUUCCAGAGGCUAUGUGGGAAGUUCAGGGUGCUCUGUGGGACAGCCAGCUGCAGCCACUGGGCUUUCUUGCAAAGAUGUCUUCAAGAAUCUUCUGCCCUGGGCAUCCCUAUCACUCCACUAAUCACUCUGGGCCUCAUGGUGGCUGCCCCAUCCUGUCAAGAAGACAUACCACCUAGACAUUUUCACAUUGAGCCUCUAGAAUCCAGCUCCUCAGGGCACUACCAUCAGCUAUGGAUACCCUGGCUGGUCCAGGAGGCCUUGGUCAUGAGACACCUCCUUCCCUGCUGUGGCCUGUGUGAAUGAUGCUUACCCGACUGGCUUAGUUUUGGAUCUGAGCAUCUCUCCCCACAAGGCCAAGAUGGAGGCUGACCAAGGGCUGUUCCUGCUCACCCAUGCUACUCACCAGAAGCUCUGUGGAAAAGUGGAAACUAUGUCCCUGGUCUUCCUUUCAGGACUUGGCUGAGAUCAGGCUACUUCUUGAGAGGCCUGGAUUCAACUGAGGAAUAUCAUUUUGGAAAAUAUAGAAACUUCUAGACUGUGGAGACACUUGGGAAGGAAUGAUCUGUGUUGACUUGAAUGAAAAAAGACAUCUCUGGAUUUUACCCACAGCUGGUGAAGGCUCACCAUCCCAACUCAUCUUCUGUCGUGUAGAAAAGUCCCUGAUGCCACUACCCAGAAUGCUCUUCUCCACCUGCCCCUGUCCCAGGCACCGCAUCCUUCCCUGCCUGACCCCACCUCACCUUUGGACCCAAAGAUGCUUCUUAUUUGCUCUAUUAUCUUCGAGCCGGAUGCAGAGUGAAUAGUUAACUAUUCUUGAGUUGAAUGGGUCUUGAUUUUUUUUGUUGCUGUUCCUUGUAAAGAGAUCAUUCUCAGUGCAUGGCACGCAGCCUGGAAAAGGUAUGUGACUCCAGAGUGACACGAGAGCCAGCGUGAAGGCCCUGUUAGCUCUUGGAGGCCAGGGAAAGUGGAGACAGCUGAGCCGGGAGUUGAGUAGAGCUGGCGCUGGCUGUGGUCUUGCACUGGUUGGAUCCACAUGCAGGUGUACAUUUGGACUGGUAGAGGUGAAGCCAUUUUCUGUGACACAAAGGGAAUGAGCUAAAAGACCUUCUUCAGAGGUGGCAGUUGGCAAUCAGCUCAUCCAGGGCUGUGUGACUGAGCCGCCAGCUCCAUUGGUGUUGCCUUCUGUGCAUGUCCUCGCUGUCCUGUGUGCUGUCAGCAGCCGGAGCCUUUUCCUCCUCCCUCCUCUGUGGCCUCUACUUGUGCAGUUGGAAAUCCUUCCUAAUCAUGUCAUGACUCCACCUUCUUGACUGUGCACUCGAAGAUGUUUGAGACUUUUUUUUAUUUAUAAAAUGGAUGGAUAGUUUGUUUCCUCGAAUUGUCAUUGGCAUGAUUCUAUGGCUGUGUUCAGUGACUUUACAGUGGGGCAUUGUCUUUGGCCUCUCAGAUUCUCCAUGGUGGAAUUGAAGAGACUUCCUAAAGAUGUUUAAUGCUGCUGAAAUCCAAAGAAGGCUUACAAACAUCCACCUGCCCUCCCUCCCUCCCCCUCCAUCCCUCCUUCCCUCCGUCCCUCCCUCCUUUCCUAAGCACACAGUGCCAUUGUCUGUGUUGUAUGAGUUUCUUCAGGUUUGAAGGAAUGGUGACCCACUCCUAUUAUCCCUAUAGGUCUUUUCUAACAGUGGGUAAGGUAAUAGAAAUGGUUGGAGGGACUGCCCAGAUGGCCUGCCCUAUAAUCCCAUAGUUAGACCAUAUACUCAAGAACUACAGGGAUGACAAGGACGGUAGCAUCCAGACCGUCAUGUGCCUCCCUAUACAGUAGGAAAUAGUGUUUCUAACUCCCACAUUCCACUCUGUGGAGCUGGGGAGAUCCAGUCAUCCCAGACUGCCAAGGACAUGGGAUUUCUUGGGACAAGAGAUUUGGGGGAGCUAAACCUGGGGCUGACUUAGGAAAAGUGUCACGAUUGGUCAUCCUACUGAGUGAACCAGUGACCAUAUCUCUUCUGCUGCAGCAGCAAGGGAAAGCUUCUAGGUUGCUUGGCCAAUUCCUAUUCAGAGCUGUAUAUCUGGUCACUCUUUGGACACAGGUCUGAGCGGAUCAGGUGCUCCAUCCUGACCAAAUCUGUUAUCUGUAAGAUGGUAAGUUUGUCUUGUACUGAAGAAAAUCUGAAGUGUCAUGGGCCAGAAAAUAUGAAGUGUCGUGGGCCAGUUGAGACCAUGUCCUUCCGAGGAGUUUGUAUACAGUGGGCAUGGCAGAAAUUCAAAAUACCUGGGAUUGCUCUAGGGCAGUCCUAUGUAGGUGACACUUACCUCUUAUUCAAAAUGAAACUGCCCUUGAAGAAGCAAACCCACAGCCACCAGGAUAGUACAGGAUGCAUGGCACCAUGUUCAUGUUUGCAUGUGUGUGUGUGUGUGUGUGUGUGUGUGCUUAACACCUGUGCAAACAUGUGCUAUAGAGAAUAAACCAAGAUCAAAAAUUUGCAUCUUCGCUAGACAGAGACAAAGAGCUGAAAUCUUAGGGACGAUGUCUGGAAAGCAAGGGACUUGGCUAGGAGACUUCCUGGAAGUCCUUUGAAGUGUAGCUUUUAUUUAGACUAUCAAGGGCAUUUCAGCUGGGGAUAAGUGUGUACUUUCUCUCUAGAGUCCUCCCCGAUAACCCUGAUAACCUGGGUUCAACUCAGAAACCACUGAGUGGGACCUCCCAGCUCACUCUCCCCUUCUCAGUCACUAGCAUCAGGGAGUGGGAGGAACUUCAAGGAGGUGAGGACGGGCGGGGUCAUGCCAAUCCAAUUCGGGGUGUUCAUGACAAGUAAGAGCAAUUGAAAGGUAAAUUACAGGUUCUUUUGCAGCUUGAAAAAGCCAGGUUUUCAGGAUCACCUGGCACCUGAAGCUGUUGCUGCCUGUCAGGGCUUUCAGCCCACAUCUUUCUGCUGAAGGCUAAGCAUGAGGGUCCAUGAUGCUGGAGCAUGGCGUCCCACUAAUUCUUCUCAUCUUGAGUUGAAGGCCACAGGCGGUUAAUUACAUACUAGGGUUGCAAUGAGAUCCAGGGGUUUUGGCAUAAUUCUUGGAUUGGGAAGAAUACUAGCCUGUAUCCUUCUCUUUGGGCACCAUCUUUGAAAAGAUGACCAUGGGAUUGGGGAGAUGGCUCAAUCAAGAAACUAUGUGAGGACCAGUGUGUGGUGGUAUACAGUUAUUAACCCAAUGCUUGAGAGACAGAUUCCUGGGCUUCACUGCUCAGCCAGCCUGGCCUACUUGGCAAGUUCCAGGCCAAUGAGAGACCCUGUCUCAAAAAAACAAGGGGGCUAGAGAGAUGGCUUGGUGUUUAAGAGUGCCUGCUGCUCUUGCAGAGGACCACAGUACAGUUUCCACUCCCCACACCAGGCAGCUCACAACUGCCUGGAGCUCAAGUUCUAGGGCAUCACACACCUUUUUCUGACCUCCACAGAAACUUUGGUCUCUGCUCAAGCACACAUGUGCAUGCAUGCAUGCUCACUCUCUCACUCUGUCUCUCUGUCUCCCUGUCUGCCCCCCCAAAAGAUGAUCAUGUUUCAGCUGACCCCCUUCAUAUGUACCCUGUCACCCUUUGAUCCUAGAAGAAGCUUUGCCAUUGAGAUAGAGACAGCUGUUUCCUACUCCCUUUUCCUCCACAUAGAGCCCCCGGAUCUCAGCAGCUAAAGUACCCUACCUCAUCAGUUUUCUGGAACAAUCUAUUCACACAGGAAUCUCCUUUUAAAUUCUGACCAGAUGUCAUCCAGGCCUGGGGAGGCAGCCUUUGGUUGAGAGGGAAUUGUGAAGGGGGCUGAACAGUAUUUACCACCAUGGUGGGAAGAAGAGAAUUUGAAAGAGCAAUUCAGAGGCUGCCACGUGGCCGUGAUUGUCAACUCCUCAACAACAUUUUUGAGCUAAUAUAUUUUGUCUUCUCCCCUAAUCAGUCUCCUAUUUUUGGAUCCUAGUGGUAUGUGUAUGCUGGUUUAAAAUAAAAAUCACAGGGCAGGGAAACAGGAGACCUGAGAUUUUGAUGUCAGAAAGUCCCUCAUUUUAGCUCCUUGUAUUUAACAUGCAGGGCUGGGCACAGGUGCCUAGGACCAUCUCCUGACGACAUUCACAUUGCUGUUGUAUUUGAAGGACAAGCCAUCAGUUUUCUAGGAGUUGGUGUCUUAAAGAUCUACUGUAUUUUCUGUAGUGGAAGAGACCAUUAGCGGAUAUCCAUGGGCCAAUGGAAAUCACCCCAUCCCCGUGCUGACCACUCUCAACCUGAUCAUGACUCAGGUAUCGUGAUCAUAACGACAUUUCAAAUUUACUCUGCUCCGCACCCCUGGGAUCUUAUGGGGCAUUUGAACUUGACUCCAAACCAUAGGAACACUCUGCUCUACAAACAGACCUGGGGACCUUUCUAUGGAGAUAUGAGUAUGGAAUUACUACAGAUGGGAAGAUGUUUAUGGGGAAGUGUGGCCUCCUGCUCAGGAGACUGCAGGGCAGAGAGUACCUUUGGAAAUGACCACCGACUCUGUAGGCUUGUGGAAAACAUGUGGAGGGAAGCCUAAGGAGAUCCUUGAACUUUUGAUAGGUUGAGGAGUGGUCUGGAUACCUGGGAUCUAGUCCUUUGCCUCAACCAGCUCAAGGUCAUGUGUCAGUCACUCCACCCUGCCUCUGUGGCUCAGUUUUUCUUCGUACAUGCAAUGGAGCAGGGAAGUAAAGACGUUGCCUGUGAGUCAGGUUUGUCGCCCUGCCUGCCCUGGCUGCUGUCUAUUUCCUGAUUGGUAGCUCACUGUCCCUUCAGCUGCACAAAUUGGAAUUAAGACUGUCCCAUCCCAGGGAAGUCCAUUACCAAAGAAUACUUCAAAGAUGUUUGCACAUGUUGUCAGUUGCACUGAGCAUGAGUUUGUUGAAGGAAAAGGCAAAUAGACACACAGCUGGUGACGGGAAAUAAUGGGGGCUGUUUAGCCCUGAGUGACUGCAAGGCAAGGGGGUAAAAAAAAACCAAGUCUGCCUGUCAUUUUGACCAAUAAGUAAAAAUGGGGAGUGCUGAAUAGUUAAAGCCAUUGGGGAUUUAUUAGUUUGCCUAGUGAAGGGCAAAUAUUAAGUCUGAAAUUGACCCAUCCUGGGACCUGCCUUUUGGCUUUUGUGACCUGCCAGGUGCUGAUCUCUGCAGACUCCAAGUUACUAAGUUCUCUUCGGUUUCUUUUUUAAAGUUGUGUUCUGUCUCCCUCUUUGGUCCCUCCUUUACCUAUCCUUUCCACCUCCCACCCUUCCCAGAAACUCAAGUAUGGAUUUUGGAGGAGGUGGAAGUCUGCCGGAUCAUAAAAUUCUUUGUACCAAGGGCUCUGACUGGCCUGGGGUUGAGCUGCCUGCAAUUGGGUGGCCUUGGGAAGUGAGCUUACUAGGUUGCCGUACAGAUUCUCCAUCUUCUGACCUGGACUUUAGAGUGCUAAUAGGCAAAGGAUUUGUCCCUCAUUAAACUUACAGUGAGUACAGUGGCAAGUGUUAGAAAGGCCAGACCAUAGCUAUUUCUAAAUCAUAACUCUCUGUCCUAGGAGACCAUACUUGCCUCUCCAUGACAAGUAACUUCAGCACGCAUGUCCAGAGAGGUACUACUUAAGGAGGGGUCCACUGGACCUAUGACUAUUAGAACAGGGGGGGAUGAGCAGUCUACCUAGCUUCCAAGAAUCAGGCAGAAUUUGAGCAUCCCCAGUAGCAAGCAGCCCACUACAUUUGUGGGGUGCUUGGGUCUCCCUUGGGGUGCAGUACUGCUGGGCACAUAGCUCUAUGUCAGACCCUCAGGGCUCUUAUCUAGAGCUGCUCCAGGAGGCUUCCCAGGAAAGUAAGUCUUCCUUCCCUGCCCCAGACUUUACAGACAACUCUCCAUCUAUUGUUCAUGCAGCCCACAGUGGGGAAUGUUCUGGAACUGCUUCAUGACGAAAGUCCCUCUCGUAUUCCAGUAAUGAGCUUUUAUUGAAUGGGGUGUGUUAGCUUUCCAUAGCUUUAGCAAAUAACAGAGAUAAUCAGCGUUUAAAGAAAAAAGGUUUAUUUUGGCUCGUUGUUUUGGAGGUUCCGGUCAGAGCCAUUGCUUGGGGACAAACCUGAGUAGAAGCCUACGGCAGAGCAAAGCCACUCAUUUCAUGGCUGGAUAAAGAAAGAAGGUCCUGAGUCCAAUUCCACAGUCUCCCCAAGGGCAUUUCCCCAAUGGCAUGAAGACUUCCAGGAGACCCAGACCUUAACACAUAAGCCUUUGGUUGGUGUGGGGUGGAGGAUAGUUCCAGAUUCAACCUGCAGCGUACCAUGUGAUUUCAAAUCCUUUGUCCCUCUGUACAGAGGAGCCAGUGUUUUGAAGGAUAGCUGGUCAGCUUGUCUCCAACUCUCCCUUUUCUAUGAAGCCUUCCUUGAUUUUUCCUUUCCUCUCAAUCAGUUGGGACAGCCCUCUCAUAUAGUUUAUGAAGCAUGUUGCAGCAUGUAUGUAAGUAUGUAUGUGUGUCCCUCCUCCCAUAGUUAGUAUCAAAUUAACUACCUUGAGGUUGAAUUAUUCUGGGUGUCUCCUCUCUGCUUUCUUCUGUCUCCUCUAACCUCUUCCGUUGGAACAAGAACCUAGUUACUCCCUGUUGAUUGGAAGUUGACCCCAGGUUGCCCCUGUGGUGUCCAGCUCUCACAAUGAGCAGUCUGGUCUGCUGUUCACAGACGUUCUCUGGUCAUUGGAAGACAGGCCCAGAGGAGCCCAGUGCCUUGUCCAAGCCUUACCCAGGUGAGGACUGGUAUUAAGCAGCAGCGGGGUCACUGACAUGGCAAAUGAACCAGCAAGGUGUGGAAUUGACUUUCCCUGUUUGCAGUCUGUCACUGCGUGUAGUGCCACAUCUGCCUGCCUUUUGUUUGCUGUCUAAUAAUCAAUAAAAUGUUAUCAGAACAGAAGAGAAAAUAUGUGAGCUUGACUGUUUGGUUUCCAUGAAGAAAGUGGAAUGCGGCUGGGUUUUCCUGGUCUAACUGCAAAGCUAGGCUCAUGUCUAAGGAGGGCGUAAAUUCAAAGGCUUAGAUCAAGGGGCCAGGGACUUGGUUCCUUUGGUAAAGUGCUUACCACAUAAGCAUGCUGGCUGCUAUAACAAAACACCAUCCAAUCCCAGUGUCUACCUGAGGUUUUCUUAUCUACUCUUCAGUUGAAUGUGAGUUGGCAUCAGUGGAUGCAGAGAAAGCUCUUUGCAGAAAUGUUGGGGCUGAAGGAGUUCUUAAUUGGUCUAUAUAAUAAAAAGGCAGAGUUAGACAUAGAGAGAAAUGCUAGAGAUCAGAGAGGAGAAGCCAGCCACAGCACACCUUACCUCCUAAGCAUCUCAGCAGAGAACAGUUUCCUGUUUCUCCCUGCUUAUAUCCUGUUUCUGCCCAGCUACACAAUUUCCUGUCUGUCUGUACAGACCUCUAGACCUCUAUGGUUAGCUAGUGGCAAGCUCCAUUCUCUGACCCCCAGACAGGCUUUAUUUGUGCAAGAAAGAUAUCACCACACAUGACACUAUUACUCCAAUCCUCUCUCUUCUGUUCACAUUGCAUUGGCAGGAAUUGGUCAGUAUGCUCCACUUGGAUGCAGGAAUCUGAGAAAUUCCCAGCUCUGUUACACAAAUGCUGGUGAACACUAGCAGUUUCUGCCACACACACACACACACCAAAUAUCCACUGUGACAACUGGGGUGUCCUUUAUUGCUUUCAUCAUGGUGGCCUUUCUGCUCCAUAAAUUCUGGCCUCUUGAAUGUGCUGUUGUCACAGCUGGUAUAUAUAGGUUCAAAGGUAUAAGGAAAGCAAGGCAGAGAUGAAGCAAAGCAGAGCCCCGAGUUUCACUUACUUUCAGCAGUGACCCCAUGUAAUUCAUUCACUCUUUCUGUGUCUUGAUUUCCAGUGUGUGCGUGCAUGUUGCAUGUAUGUAAGUAGGUGCUGAUGCACAUGUGUGUAUGUGUGUGGAAGCCAGAGGUCAAACUUAGGUGUUAGUCAUAGGAGCUGUCCACCUUUUUUUUUUUUUUUUAAGCAGGGUCUCUCACUGACCAACCGGCCUGUCUGUCUCUGCCUCCUCAGUCCUGGGAUUACAAGUGUGAACAUCUAUGCAUGGCUUUGUACAUGGGCACCGGGGCUGGAACUCCGGUCUCCACGCUUGCAUGACCUUACCACUUCAAUUUCCCAGCUGAGUCAUCUCCCUAGCCCCAGUUUCCUCCUCUGCUCUGCUUCUAAGUGGUUCCGAAGUCUGAGUGUUGGCAGUUGGAACAGAAUUUGAAGCAACAGCACCCCUUCCAUAUGUCAUCUUGGCUUUAUUUAUUCAGGGCAAGUGUUCUUGAUAUCCAUUGCUUGGGAACCAAGUAGGAUGAUUAAUCUUAAUUGUCAACUUCACCCGAGUGACACAUAGGUAGAAGAUAGUUCAUAAGGCACACCUCUGAGUGUGUCUGCCAUGGCUUUUCCAAGGAAGAGUAGGUUACCAGCACUCUGACCUAAUCAAUGGUUUGAUCCUUGAUAGAUUUAUAGUUGAUGACAUCAUUAAGAAGUGGUGGAAGGUAGGUGGUGGGGUCUAGUUAAAGGGUACAGGUGCCUGGCUCAUGUUUCUCUGACCACUUCCUCAAUCAAUCUCUUUCUUUCUCUCUCUCUCUCUCUCUCUCUCUCUCUCUCUCUCUCUCUCUCUCUCUCUCUCUCUCUCUCUCUCUCCUCCCUCCCUCUCUCUCUCUGUCUUCUCUCCUCUCUCUCCACUCUCUAUUUUCUAUGAAGAGACGCCUCUGGGUUGUGUUACCACCACCAGGACAUUUUGUGCCAGUACACCAUGGUGCCAAGCAAACAUGGACUGAACUCUCUGAAACCAUGAGCCAAAAUAGAUCAGAUUUUACUUUUAGAUUGCAUUGUCAUUAUUUUGUCACAACACAAAAUCUGACCAACUUAAGAAGUGUUUGUAGAGCCACUGAAUGAUGACUCAGUGAGUGCGGGCGUUCACUGCCAGUGCCCUGAGUUCAAUCCCUGGAACCGUGCGAUGGAGGGAGAGAACUGACUUGUGCAAAUUGCCUUCCCA